ensembl:snRNA U5 U5 spliceosomal RNA
AGCUCGAGUUUCUCUUCAUUGUCGCAUAAAUCUUUUGCCUUUUACUAAAGCUUUCCGUUGAAGGGAACUUUUGCAAAUGACCUGUAUUUUUAAGGGGAAGUCGAGGCC